CCAUGGUUUUCUAUUUUGGGUGGGGAAUAACCAGAGGGUUCAAGACCUGAAUGAAAAAAGUACAAAACGAAAGCUUUACAGAUUAAAAUAAAUUGUUUUACCUUAGGUGUUUAAAAUAGAGAAAGCACAAAUCAUAAAAGAUUAAAGAGCAAUAGUAGACCACAUUAAAUUAAACAUUUGAAUAACAAGAUUCCCAAAUAAAAACCACGGACCAGAAAAAAUGUUGAUAAUGCAUAAUAGUGUGCAGUCAACAACCCCGUGGAUAACUGGGCAAAAGACAUCAACAGGCAACUAUCAGAAGAAACCUUUAAUGUCCAGUGGCUUGAUUUCAGGGAAUUACAAAUUCAAAAAGGUGACGGGGCAGGGUGACACUGCUGUAGACACAGGGAUUACUCCCUCCCUCCCUCUCAAUGCUAUCAAAAGAUGCUCUUUGGAAAAAUUUCCCAGCAGUUGGGUGGCUUAAGGAAACUCCCAUAGUCAUGUGACUCCAGAUACUUCUGGGGCUGGUUGAAUAAAGUGGAUGUCAGCCCUGACUGGCGGCAUCCAAGUGACUGUGCUGUGGGGCUGUGGUGUGCUGUCGGGGCCAGGAGAGUUGGCAGGACUAUAAUAACCUCUCAUCAGGCCCUCUAGACAAACAGAAUUCAGGCAGUGGAUACCACUGCUCUUAAAUCAUGAGCAUUGGAUUUGGUCACAUGGAGGGCUAACAGCAUGCUGGAAAAACAAGGUCAUGCAAGUGUCAUUAUAUUGAGCCUGACUGUUUGGAGAGACUUUGUAAACUUAAAAAUUUACAUAAAAGCAUGUUGGAAAUAAUUUCAUGUGGGUGUAUCACAGACAGAGGCAUCAUUGCUCUGCAUCACUUAAGAAAACUGAAGUGUUUGCUGUUAAGUGAUCUUCCUGGACUAAGAGAAAAAGUAAACCUUGUCCAAGCCUUUGAGAUAGAACCACCUUCUCUAGAACUAAAAUUAGACUUGAAGUAAAAUAGUAACAUUCAGUAAGUGUCUUAAUUCAAAUGGAAGCAUCUACAGGUGAACGGAUAAAGAUCUGGUACUCACCAUAAAAAAGAGUGAGAUCUUGCUGUUUGCAACAACAUGGAUGGGCCUAGAGAGUAUUAUGCCCAGUGAAAUCAUUCAGACAGAGACAAGUACCAUAUGGUUUCUCUUAUAUGUGGAAUCUAAAAAAACAAAUG